CCCAUUGAAGUACCAUAAAGUAUCUAACCAAAAGAGUAAUAAAAUCUAGUUGGGACAUACCCUCCACCAUAGCCAAAACUAAUAUCCAAAAUAAAACCAAAAUAUCUAGAAAUAUCCAUAGCAUGAAAUGGAGCCUUUCGAAAGGAUGGAAGCUCAUCACUUCAGUCCAAAUGCUGUUCCCGAGUCAAUUACUAUGUAGGAGGAGUAGAACGACCGAUUCCUGCAUAGCGUGAGUAUACAGCCGCCAAUAGACGGGGUUAGUGAGUGACAGCUAGCAUGAUCUCAGGGUUAGGAUAAAAUAAUGUCAUUUAUAAAAUCAAGUAAAACUAUACAUAUGCACACAAACAAACAUAUAUAUAUAUAUAUAUAUAUAUAUAACCAUGUCGGGAAAAGGAAACAGGUUUGGACUUCUUGAAAUUUUCGAACACCUUUUGAAUGAAGAUCCUCUCUAGAUUACAAUAAAUAAACUACGAAAUAAAAUUCUCAAACCUAAGGGACAAUGGUUCAUACAAUCCGACAUUACAUCCUUCAAUUAAAUACACAAGAGACGAUCGUGUGUGAUUGGCUCGUAGUCAAUACAAGCAAGGUUGGUUUUCUAUUGGAUCCAAUACCCCCUUAGGUAUUGAGUCUUCCUAGGCACAUGCCUAAAAAGGAUUUUGAUUUCGCUCUAUCCUAGGUAUCUAGAGGGGGCUUUAACCAGGUUUCAAAUGCACAACUCGAGUUUGAAAAUACAAACAGUCAUUAAACGCCCAAUGUACCAACAAACUACUGUAUUUUUAAUACUUUAUUUGAAGUUGAUAAAUAGGGGCCACGACAAUCGCAAAUCCCCAAAUAAUUUAAAUAUUCAAGGAGAAAGUAUGCCAUGAAAUACAACAAUUUCAAUUUUACGUAAAUUUAAACACAUAAGCAAACAAACAAUAUCAGUAUUACAAACCUGAAUAGUCAGUCAAAAAAAAAUAGUUAUUUCAAAUAUUUGGUUAGAACCUUACUAAAUUCCCCAACAGAGUUGUCAUUUCUGUUUUUAUCUAUUUUUGGUUUUUAUUUAAGAGAAAAUGAUUUUGACCUUUUCCAAACUAUGUAAAAAAAUCAAGACUAUUUCGAAAUAAUUUUAACAAAAUUACAGAGUAGACACUUGAUUUUUAUUGAGAAUAUCAAGAAAACUUUAAAAAGUUUCAAAGAUUUAAAAUAAAAAUAAAUAUUGAAAUAAGAGAAACUAAGUAAUGAUUCAGUUAACACACUAAGAAGGUUUUGAAGGAACUUAGGACGUUCGUUUGAAAAAACGAUUUACGAAAUAAUUUUUGACUAACUUAAAAAUGACUAAUUUUGUAAACACUCGAUUCUAUAUAAGAUAUCAAAAUUAUUAACCUAAAAUGACACUUGUUCAUCCAAAUGAAAAUAUUCCUUUGAAUUAAAGAAUGAUCCGAUUAAAUUAAAUUGCAUAUUUUUAAAUUUAAGAGGAAAAUAAAUUUGUACUUUUAUGGGAAGAGUGGAUUAUGUAAUUAUUUUUUUGUUAUCAUUGUUGUUAUUAUUAUUUUUUAUGAAAGUCAAUUUUGGUCUAAUAUCUUUAGAAAAUGAUGUCAAGAGUGUAUCAAACUACGAGUGAUUAAUUAAUUAUGAAAGUUAGAAUUUUCAAGAAAAAUUAGUUUCUUAGGUUUGAAGAAAAUUGCCUUAAUCCAAAUAGACUAUUAGUCCUAUGAAUAAAAUAAAUGUCAUGUUGGUAUGAAACACUAAAUUUUAGAAGAUUUGUUUGUUAGGGAGAAUAACUGAAGCAACAAAUGUGAUUCAUUUUAGAUGACACAAACCAAGUGAGAAGAAAUACGAAUUUAGUAAGAAAAUCAAGAUAAAAUAGAAUGGAAAUGCCUUAGAAGAUUUAUCUAGAUUAAUCAUUUAAUACAAAUAGUUAAGAUAAAUUACAAAAAUAAAGAAGGGUUGAGAAAUUUGGCUUUCAGGCCCAUUUUUUUUUAUGGAAAAAGGACAAAAAUAACACCUGAAACUAAAAUAAUUUCACGAAAAUAGCACCUAAAACUAAGAGCUCGGUAAAUAGUCACUCCCAUAUGCUUAACUACAUAUAACCAGAAAUGCGCCCAAAUCAAUAUAUAACUUUACCUUUCUUUCUUUCCUUUUCAUGCCCAAUUUCCUUUUAAUUCAAACUCCUAAUUCUCCGUUUCAUUACCUUUUCUAAUACUCAUCUUUACCCUUUUCAUUCCACAAACUUUUGUAUAAAUCUCUUAGAAUUUGCAUUCAAUUAGUUUCAUAUAGUUUUUCACCUAUAAAUGAUAAAUCAUCCUCAAUAAAUUCAUAAAUAGAUAAAGGAUCGUCUUUCACCACUUUCGUGCUUGUUUUUUCAUUUGAUGGACCCGAUUUUUUUCACUAUUUUCAACAAAAAUCUCAAUAUCAAAUAGAGAAUUUUGAAGCAAGGUAAGGAUUUUUAGGUAGGUUAUACGGUAGAAAAGUGUAACAAAAGAAGAUUUGUUGAUAUCAAACUACGGAGUAAAAAUAUACUCCCCGUGUGUAUCUUUUUUUUUAAUUGUUAUUUGUCUUAGCUGGGCAGUUAAUAGAAAAUAGCUAUUUAUGCUUGCACAUACUGUAUCAAUGUGGUAUAAAAGUGUAUCGAUCUAGUAUAAAAGAGUAUCAAUUGGAUAUAUGUUACUGUAUAUGCUUGCACAUACUGUAUCAAUAUGGUAUAAAAAUAUAUCAAUUGGAUAUAUAAACACUGCAUAUGCAUGCAUAGAUUCUCCUUCUAUCUUGUUAUAAAAGUGUAUCAAUAGGGUAUAAAAGAGUAUCAAUUGGGUAUAGGAUCCCCUAUUUCUUUUUUAAAAAGUGUAUCAAUGUAGUAUAAAAGUGUAUCAAUUGGGUAUAGAAAUUGCACGUGGCUGACUGGGCCAAUGGCUAAAAGAGGGAAAUAAAUUGGACCGAUCGGCUCCAGUUGUCCAUAUUUUCAAAUUGUGGGCCAUUUUUUUAAAAAUGGUCGGCCCAUGUCCUUCUGUUCAGCUUUGGGCUGCAAAUAUUAUAGAUCUUGAGUCCAUUUUACCCAUGGUAUAUCAACUGUAUAUCACAAAUUUGUUUUGAUGUGUUUCCUAUAUAUACGUUGUAUAUCAGUGUAUAAGGACCUGUAUACUUGCUUCCAAUGUUGUUAUGCACCAAAUAUUAGUGCAUACCAGCCAUCUUUGAUAUGUAAAUCCUAUAUAUUUGUUGUAUAUCAAUGUAUAUCAGCCUUGUAUCAAUCCAUUUUCUUCAUGUAUUAGUCCAUUUUGGACUUUGAUGGGGCUUGAAUCGAUGAAUAAUGAAUGUGAAAAAUGGGAUUCCGAUGGACUCGGUGAGAAAGGUCAUGCAUAAAAGGGAUAGGAACGAAUUAGGAGGAAAUAUUUAUAAACUUAACCACAUACAUACUACAUAACCACCUUUCAAAUGAAAUACCAAUAAUUUAAACAAGAUAAUUACAUUUAUAAUGAAGUUUAAGAAUGGAAGAAAAUUCUGCAUCACAUAGGGCACCAAAGGAAUAGCAUAAAGAACGAGUAUAACAAUGUCCCAAUAUCAACAUGAUUAAAGUUGUAUAAGUAGUCCACCACGGAAAAACUAUAAUUGUUUAAGGAGCAUAACAGCAAUUGAAACUGCUCCAAUAUUGAAAGUAGAACUCUUCAUAAUUUUCUAUUUUUUUUUUUUUUAGAAAAAACUCAAAGACGGUUACGCAUAGAAAUUGAUAAAGAAGUAUAUAAUCUUCAACUCCCUCCAUCCCAUUUUACUCGUCCUAAAUUUUCUAAUUUGAUAUCCCAUUUUACUUAUUAAGACAAUGACAAUUUUUUUUUCAUUAUACCAUCAUUAUUUUUUUAAUAGCUGUGUCAUCUCAAUUUGGAACGGGACGGAGGGUGUAAUUGAUAAGAAAUUCAACUCUAGAUAUAAAACAAACCAACAAUUUAUUUUAAUCUUUUGAUAGGUAAAGCUACUGGAACAAAAUAAACAAAAAUCAACAAGUUGUUUAAUCCAUGUUCGGCCACCUUUUGUAUAAAUAAAUAAAUUAAAUUUAAUCUAUGGAAAAAAUCGAAUAAAAAAAUCACGGAACUAACUAAAUUUCAAACUGCCUAACACCAAAAUAUGAACAAACAAAAUAAGGAAGGGGAUUUACCUUUUUUUCGGGCAGCAGAUGAGAUAAACGAGCUUUAAAUGAACCAAAUUUUAUCAAAAUUUCAAUCCCGAAUCGUUGAAGUUUUACCUUUCUUUUUUUGUCGGAAUUAACUUUACAAGUGCGUUUCUUCUCGAAUUCUUCGAUUACGUGAAAUUAGAGAAUCGCUCCUCCUGAAUUCUCACUUUAUUCCCAAAGAAUUCUCUCUUUUCAACCUCUAUCCCUCAAUGUCUAUUAAUAGGAAAAAUUUGGGAGGAAAAAUUAAGAUUUUGAAUUUGAAAAAAUGAAUUUCAAAUCCGAAUUUUGGAAUCCAAGGUGAGACAAAGACCAUUUAUGGCCUUUUGUACACGAAAAAUGUGGAGAAAUAAAUGUUGCCUCUGUUAUUCAAAAAUGAGAGUUUAUAGUUUGCCAAAAUGGUGAGCAUAGAUUGAAGAUAAUGAAAGAAUUUGAUUUUUUAGCCGCUAUACAUGAGGGUAAAUCAGUAAAUGGAAGGGGUGGUAGGGUUUUUGGGAUUGAUGCCAUUUUUAUUGUUGUUUACUGGUUGUUGACUGUUGUGCCGUGUAGAGAAAAUAAGAUGAAGGGGGAAAAGGAA
rnacentral:lncRNA from 1 species